CGAAACGGUAUAACGUUCCGUAGGUGAACCUGCGGAAGGAUCAUUACAGAGUUCAUGCCCUCACGGGUAGAUCUCCCACCCUUGAAUAUUAUACCUUAGUUGCUUUGGCAGGCCGGGGCAACCCCCGGGGCUUCGGCCUUGGUGUGCCUGCCAGAGGAAACAAACUCUGUUUUUAGUGAUGUCUGAGUACUAUAUAAUAGUUAAAACUUUCAACAACGGAUCUCUUGGUUCUGGCAUCGAUGAAGAACGCAGCGAAAUGCGAUAAGUAAUGUGAAUUGCAGAAUUCAGUGAAUCAUCGAAUCUUUGAACGCACAUUGCGCCCCGUGGUAUUCCGCGGGGCAUGCCUGUUCGAGCGUCAUUUCAACCCAUCAAGCUUCGGCUUGGUCUUGGGGCCUGCGAUUCCGCAGCCUCUAAACCCAGUGGCGGUGCCUCCGAGCUCUGAGCGUAGUAAUUCUUCUCGCUAUAGUGUCUCGGUGGUGUCUUGCCAGUAACCCCCAAUUUUUUUACAGGUUGACCUCGGAUCAGGUAGGGAUACCCGCUGAACUUAAGCAUAUCAAUAAGCGGAGGAAAAGAAACCAACAGGGAUUACCUCAGUAACGGCGAGUGAAGCGGUAACAGCUCAAAUUUGAAAUCUGCCGCAAGGCCGAGUUGUAAUUUGUAGAAGAUGCUUUGGGUAUGGCCCCGGUCUAAGUUCGUUGGAACACGACGUCAUAGAGGGUGAGAAUCCCGUAUGUGACUGGGUGCUUUUGCCUAUGUAAAGCUCUUUCGACGAGUCGAGUUGUUUGGGAAUGCAGCUCAAAAUGGGUGGUAUAUUUCAUCUAAAGCUAAAUAUUGGCCAGAGACCGAUAGCGCACAAGUAGAGUGAUCGAAAGAUGAAAAGCACUUUGGAAAGAGAGUUAAACAGUACGUGAAAUUGUUGAAAGGGAAGCGCUUGCAACCAGACUUGCACGCUGUUGAUCAUCCAGGCUUCUGUCUGGUGCACUCGGCAGCGUUCAGGCCAGCAUCGGUUCUGGUGGUGGGAUAAAGGCCUUGGGAAUGUAGCUUCUUUCGGGGAGUGUUAUAGCCCUCGGUGCAAUGCCGCCUAUCGGGACCGAGGACCGCGCUUCGGCUAGGAUGCUGGCGUAAUGGUUGUAAGCGACC
rnacentral:rRNA from 1 species